rnacentral:rRNA from 1 species
AGCAGGUCAAUAUUCCUGUACCGAUUCGUAGUGCGAUGUGGGGACGGAGAAGGUUAACUCAGCCGGGUGUUGGAUGUCCCGGUUCAAGCCUGUAGCCAUGCCUGGUAGGCAAAUCCGCCGGGCUUAGGUGAGAGGUGAUAACGAGUCUGCUUGCAGACGAAGUGAGUGAUACCCUGCUUCCAGGAAAAGCCACUAAGCUUCAGCUACGAACGACCGUACCGCAAACCGACACUGGUGCGCGAGAUGGGUAUUCUAAGGCGCUUGAGAGAACUCUGGAGAAGGAACUCGGCAAAUUGACACCGUAACUUCGGGAGAAGGUGUGCCUUUAGUAGGUGAAGUCCCUCGCGGACCGAGCCCAAUGAGGUUGCAAAGAAUCGGUGGCUGCGACUGUUUAAUAAAAACACAGCACUCUGCAAAGACGAGAGUCGACGUAUAGGGUGUGACGCCUGCCCGGUGCUGGAAGAUUAAAUGAUGGGGUGCAAGCUCUUGAUUGAAGUCCCAGUAAACGGCGGCCGUAACUAUAACGGUCCUAAGGUAGCGAAAUUCCUUGUCGGGUAAGUUCCGACCUGCACGAAUGGCGUAACGAUGGCCACACUGUCUCCUCCAGAGACUCAGCGAAGUUGAAAUGUUUGUGAUGAUGCAAUCUCCCCGCGGAAAGACGGAAAGACCCCAUGAACCUUUACUGCAGCUUUACAUUGGACUUUGAACAGAUCUGUGUAGGAUAGGUGGGAGGCUUUGAAGUGGGGACGCUAGUUCUCAUGGAGCCAACGUUGAAAUACCACCCUGGUGUGUUUGAGGUUCUAACCUUGGCCCGUGAUCCGGGUUGGGGACAGUGUAUGGUAGGCAGUUUGACUGGGGCGGUCUCCUCCCAAAGCGUAACGGAGGAGUUCGAAGGUACGCUAGGCACGGUCGGAAAUCGUGCUGAUAGUGCAUUGGCAUAAGCGUGCUUGACUGCGAGACUGACAAGUCGAGCAGGUACGAAAGUAGGACAAAGUGAUCCGGUGGUUCUGUAUGGAAGGGCCAUCGCUCAACGGAUAAAAGGUACUCUGGGGAUAACAGGCUGAUACCGCCCAAGAGUUCAUAUCGACGGCGGUGUUUGGCACCUCGAUGUCGGCUCAUCUCAUCCUGGGGCUGUAGCCGGUCCCAAGGGUAUGGCUGUUCGCCAUUUAAAGAGGUACGUGAGCUGGGUUUAAAACGUCGUGAGACAGUUUGGUCCCUAUCUUCCGUGGGCGUUGCAAGAUUGAGAGAGCCUGCUCCUAGUACGAGAGGACCGGAGUGGACGCACCUCUGGUGUAUCGGUUGUCACGCCAGUGGCAUUGCCGAGUGGCUAAGUGCGGAAGAGAUAACCGCUGAAAGCAUCUAAGCGGGAAACUCGUCUCAAGAUGAGUCUUGCCGGGGCCUUGAGCCCCCUGAAGGGUCGUUCGAGACCAGGACGUUGAUAGGCUGGGUGUGGAAGCGCAGUAAUGCGUUAAGCUAACCAGUACUAAUUGCCCGUGAGGCUUGACCCU